rnacentral:snRNA from 1 species
GUGCUCACUCGGGCAGCCCAUAUACUAAAAUUGGAAUGAUACAGAGAAGAUUAGCAUAGCCCUUGUUCAAGAUGACAUGCAAAUUUGUGAAGUGUUCUCUAUUUUU